rnacentral:tRNA from 1 species
AAGGAUUUAGGUUAACGAAACUCGCAACCUUCAAAGUUGCACAUGAAGGGGCACUUUAAGCCUUA